AUGAAACAACUGGAGUCCAGAGGUUUGGUUCAGAGGACUGACGGUAGCAGAGAGGUUUUACUGCAGCUGCAAAAUAGUGUGAAUUAUGAAAAACUGUUCUUUGGCACUGGGACAAAACUCACAGUCAUAGAGAAGAAUGAUGUAAUCACAUCACCAGCUGUGGCCAUCUUUUCCCCAUCAAAGCAAGAGAUCCAAGAGAAGAGCAAGGCCACACUGGUAUGCCUGGCCUCUGGUUUCUACCCCGACAACCUCAAUCUAGUCUGGAAGGUGAAUGGUGCUGAGAGGACAGAAGGGGUGGGGACAGAUGAGACUUCCACAUCAUAUGGGAAUGCUUAUUCACGGACCAGCCGACUGAGAAUCUCAGCCCAAGAAUGGUUCAACCCUUUGAAUCGUUUUGAGUGUGUUGCCAAUUUUUUUAAGAAUGAAGCACAGGAAUCAAUACACAAAUUCAUCUAUGGUGAUGCUGGAUGUGCACUUGCUGAAGGUAUGUGUGUCUUCUCACAAGCAGAGUCCUACAUGCUGCAUGGAAAUUCUCUGAAGCUCACUUACCUCAUUCUCUGUGGGAAAGCCUUCUUGUAUGCUAUUUUGGUGUGCACUCUGAUGUUAACAGCCAAGGCUGGUGGCACACUGUAUACAGAAUGAAUGAAUAACCCUCUCAAUUGCAUCAGCAGGACCAAUGCAAAUUCUGUUUAUUACUGCAUAAAGGAUCCAGGCUUCUGUCUAAGAUCUUCUUUGUUUCUUGUGUUUCUCUGUUCCCUCCUGUUCUUUCUAAUUUGUUGUAAUCACUGGUGGACAUCCAAAAAAAUCUCUAUCAUAGCUUCAAAACUAACACCUUCUUGUUGCUUAGAGAGUUGCAUCAAGUUGCAUUAGCUCCUUGAAUUGGGAAUAAAGUUUUAUCUUCAGUCCAUUUGAGAA